CACCUUCAGUGCCCAGGAGGGACAAAUGGUUUUGGUUCAGUGUGCCAUUGAUGGGCGUUCUCCCGUUACAAGAAUUGUCUUCUGCAAGGAUGGGGUGGAAACAUCCAGCCUGAAGGCCAUUCAGGGGCAGCUGACCUACAACAUGAUCAUGAAUGUCUCACUGGGAAGUGCAGGCAAGUACACGUGUGGGUACCAGCUCAAGGAUCAGAGCAACCAAGUGAAGAACUCUGCCCUCAGUGUCCCCCAGGACUUGGAAAUCACAGGUAAGAUGCGAAACCAGAGCAGGGGAAUGUGCUCCAUGAAACAUAAGAGUGAUGGAUGCUGUAUAUAAUCCACAGGUCCACCUCAGCCAUCCUAUUUUUAAUCCCUCACAAAAUCACUUAGACACUGGAUCCAUGGGGGUCCAUGCUGGCAGAGCAGUUGCAGGCACUUUCACUCCUCCCCUGGGGAUGGUGCUGGCUGUUGUUGGAGGGAUGUGCCCAUGGGGCUGUGUGUCCCCUGCCCCACACAGACGUGCUCAGGGCUGUUGUAGGAGAUGAGAUCAAUAUGUGCCUAGUCAGGGAAGGAGGUGGCAGUGAUGCAGAUGCUCAUCCUGUCCAUUUCUCCUGCCAGGCAGUGUGGCCGGCUCCCCUGCAUAAUAACAGCCCCAAGGGAGUGACUCCCUCCUGCAUCCCCAAAGACAAUAACAUGGGGCUCAGGUCUGCCAGGCUGCCGUCCCCAGGGCAUGGGGUCAUGCAGGAACUUCAUCAAGCAGGAGGUCUGCCAGCUGCACGGGCACAUCCUGCUCCCUGCCUCUCCCCAUCACACCCCGCUGCCUUCACACCCUCUGUCCCCCAGCUCCACAUGCCCGGAUUCUGCACACCCUCCCCACAGGCAUGGUGCUGGCAGUGGCGGCCGUCGGCCUCGUCCUCCUGGCUGCAGGCAGCUGGUUUGCCAUCAGGAAAGGCAGCAGCACGUUGACAGCCCACAGACGGAAGACACCAACUAUGGUGACAUCCAGUACUCCACCAUCGCCCAUGUUCGACGGGACAGGGUGAGUCAUGGCACAGCUGUGCACACCUCCUUUCUGCACUCCUGCAGCCUGGUGCACGCUCAUUGUGCAGGGCUCACAGUCAGCAGCUGAAGUAACAGGGUUUCUUUUCUCCCUAAAGCCUCGUCCCAUGCAGCACAUGAGAAACACCACGACAUAUGCCAUGGUGACCCGCACCCAGACCCGAUAGCGCUGCCACAGGGCAAGGGCACAGGAGCCUUGUCCACAGCUGCCUUUGCUCUCCUGCAGAGGGCUCCUGCAGCCAUAACGUGGGGCUGGGGGUUGCACUUUGGUCUUCUUUGGGGUUUGUUAUCACAGGGAAGGGCUGUGAGUGUCUAGCCAAGUCGAUGUAGGACUCAUACCUCCAUCUACAAUACAUUAAUACUUCCAAAAUAUAUGAGCUAUACCAAAUCUUACUGUGAGUGUAUUGAUUUUUUCUCAAAAGAAGAAAACCUCUCGCUGUGCUCAGUGGAUGAUGUGUACACAUAAGUUGCAUUAUAAUGUCAUGGGGGUAUUAUUCUACCCACCCACGGAGAUGCCC
rnacentral:lncRNA from 1 species